GAAUAAAUUUGAUGCUUUUGGAGCAAUUGAUAAUGGACUUGACCCUUGUGAGUAAAAAGCAACAAACUAUAAAAAAUAAAUUAUGCAAAACAUGUGUUAUACAUUUUGAAUACUUUAUAUUUCAUAUGUGAUUUCUUUAUUUUAAUAUUUUUGCUUUACAGUUGGACCAAUAGGUAAGUUAUUCUAAUUCGCGGUAGAGUUAAUAGGUUUCAUUUUAUUUAAAAUGAAAAUUAAUUUAUAAUUCGAUACUAGUGCAUCUGAAGCAUGUGUUACUACGAUAUAUAACUAGUAUGUGAGCAAGGAUAUUUGCUA